CCUACGGGAGGCUGCAGUGGGGAAUAUUGGACAAUGGGGGGAACCCUGAUCCAGCCAUGCCGCGUGUGUGAAGAAGGCCCUCGGGUUGUAAAGCACUUUCAGUGAGGAAGAACGCCUGGUGGUUAAUACCCAUCAGGAAAGACAUCACUCACAGAAGAAGCACCGGCUAACUCCGUGCCAGCAGCCGCGGUAAUACGGAGGGUGCGAGCGUUAAUCGGAAUUACUGGGCGUAAAGCGCGCGUAGGUGGCUUGAUAAGCCGGUUGUGAAAGCCCCGGGCUCAACAUGGGAACGGCAUCCGGAACUGUCAAGCUAGAGUGCAGGAGAGGAAGGUAGCAUUCCCGGUGUAGCGGUGAAAUGCGUAGAGAUCGGGAGGAAUACCAGUGGCGAAGGCGGCCUUCUGGACUGACACUGACACUGAGGUGCGAAAGCGUGGGUAGCAAACAGGAUUAGAUACCCUUGUAGUC
rnacentral:rRNA from 1 species